UACGUAGGGUCCGAGCGUUGUCCGGAAUUAUUGGGCGUAAAGGGCUCGUAGGCGGUCUGUCGCGUCGGGAGUGAAAACUCAGGGCUCAACCCUGAGCGUGCUUCCGAUACGGGCAGACUAGAGGUAUGCAGGGGAGAACGGAAUUCCUGGUGUAGCGGUGGAAUGCGCAGAUAUCAGGAGGAACACCGGUGGCGAAGGCGGGUCUCUGGGCAGUAACUGACGCUGAGGAGCGAAAGCGUGGGGAUCAAACAGG
rnacentral:rRNA from 1 species